AACGAACGCUGGCGGCAGGCUUAACACAUGCAAGUCGAACGCCCCGCAAGGGGAGUGGCAGACGGGUGAGUAACGCGUGGGAAUCUACCCAGUUCUACGGAACAACACAGGGAAACUUGUGCUAAUACCGUAUACGCCCUACGGGGGAAAGAUUUAUCGGAAUUGGAUGAGCCCGCGUUGGAUUGGCUAGUUGGUGGGGUAAUGGCCUACCAGGGCGACGAUCCAUAGCUGGUCUGAGAGGAUGAUCAGCCACACUGGGACUGAGACACGGCCCAGACUCCUACGGGAGGCAUCAGUGGGGAAUAUUGGACAAUGGGCGCAAGCCUGUUCCAGCCAUGCCGCGUGAGUGAUGAAGGCCUUAGGGUUGUAAAGCUCUUUCAGUGGGGACGAUAAUGACGGUACCAACAGAAGAAGCCCCGGCUAACUUCGUGCCAGCAGCCGCCGUAAUAC
rnacentral:rRNA from 1 species